rnacentral:rRNA from 1 species
UACGGGGGGGGCAAGCGUUGUUCGGAAUUACUGGGCGUAAAGGGCUCGUAGGUGGCCAACUAAGUCAGACGUGAAAUCCCUCGGCUUAACCGGGGAACUGCGUCUGAUACUGGAUGGCUUGAGUUCGGGAGAGGGAUGCGGAAUUCCAGGUGUAGCGGUGAAAUGCGUAGAUACCUGGAGGAACACCGGUGGCGAAGGCGGCAUCCUGGACCGAUACUGACGCUGAGGAGCGAAAGCCAGGGGAGCAAACGGG